GAGUUGUAGUCUGGAGAAGCGUUUUCCGUGUUGGACCGUGUAUAAGUCUCUUGGAACAGGGCGUCAUAGAGGGUGAGAAUCCCGUCUUUGACACGGACUACCAAUGCUUUGUGAUGCGCUCUCAAAGAGUCGAGUUGUUUGGGAAUGCAGCUCAAAAUGGGUGGUAAAUUCCAUCUAAAGCUAAAUAUAGGCGAGAGACCGAUAGCGAACAAGUACCGUGAGGGAAAGAUGAAAAGCACUUUGGAAAGAGAGUUAAACAGUACGUGAAAUUGCUGAAAGGGAAACGCUUGAAGUCAGUCAUGUCUGCCAGGACUCAGCCUUGCUUCUGCUUGGUGUACUUUCUGGUUUGAUGGGCCAACAUCAAUUUUGACCGUUGGAAAAAGGCUUUGGGAAUGUGGCACCUUUGGGUGUGUUAUAGCCCUUUGUUGUAUACGACGGUUGGGAUUGAGGACUGCAGCACGCCUUCAUGGCCGGGGUUCGCCCACGUACGUGCUUAGGAUGUUGGCAUAAUGGCUUUAAGCGACCCGUCUUGAAACACGGACCAAGGAGUCUAACAUGCCUGCAAGUGUUUGGGUGGAAAACCCAUGCGCGUAAUGAAAGUGACAGCUGAGAUCCUCUCAUCAGGAGCAUCAGCGCCUGGACUUGAUCUACGGAGACGGUUCUACGGUAGAGCAUGUAUGUUGGGACCCGAAAGAUGGUGAACUAUGCCUGAAUAGGGUGAAGCCAGAGGAAACUCUGGUGGAGGCUCGUAGCGAUUCUGACGUGCAAAUCGAUCGUC
rnacentral:rRNA from 1 species